CUGUUAAACACCUGACUGUAUUGUUCUAGUCUUGAUGCCUGAUUACUGUCCGAUUAUGAGACUGCCAUCUAGCAGUGGGAUAUGCAUUGUGUGGCUAAGUCUUAGGCCACACAAUGAGUGUUGCUUUCCUUAGCCCUCUGUCUCAAAAUAGUCCAUCUAAUUCUGGUCCAGGCUUAAGAGUGCAUAUCUCAAGCAGUGAACGCCAGGCAUUUGUACCUGUCUGGAGAAACCCAGAGCCUUGCUUUAUCCAGAUACAUCUUGGGUAUGUUCACAGAACCAUUAAAGUGAGGGUCAGACACUCAAUACUUGAUCUGAGGAAAGUCUAAGUUAGUGAUCCCUCAGGACUAAUGUAUACACACACUUCUUAGGGCAACACUGGCCAGUCUCAGGUGGAUGGUAAUAAGGAUGCUCUUCACCAGCUGUGUUUUGUUUCUCUGCGUUCUUCUAAGUGGGGGCUCACGGGAUAUACCUGAUUGCCUCGGUGGGGAAAAGCUGAAGUUAUUUUAUUUUAUUGUCUGCAGCAUCAAUAGUACCUCACCGGAAGAGUGACUUGUCCAAGGUUGUGGUCAGGGCCCUCUUCACAGGGGCCUGUGUAUCCCUUAUCAGUGCCUGUAUGGCAGGUAGGUGUCUCAGCUCUGAUGGAGAUACUGCUGCAUGAGGGUGAUGGUUGGAGGAAUAAUAUGAGGAAGGUAGAAUUGUCCUUGAGUACAGGGGCAACAGAGAUUACUUCCCUAGAUCAUGACAGGCUGUCUUUCAGAAUAUUGAUUUACCCAUCCAUUCCACAGAUACAUGGCAAAGGCACCUAAUCAAGAGUGUCCACAAUUCGUGCCAAAAGAAUAAAGAGCCUUGAGAAGCACGUGUCAGAUCUUCCCCUUAGUACCUCUGUCUCCUUUAUCCAGGAAUCCUCUAUGUCCCCAGGGGAGCUGAAGCUGACUGUGUCUCCUUCCCAAACACAAGUUUCACCAAUAGAACCUAUGAGACCUACAUGUGCUGCAGAGGACUCUUUCAGAGUACUUCUCUGAAUGGCACCAACCCUCCUUCUUUUUCUGGUCCCUGGGAAGAUAAGGAGUUCAGUGCUAUGGCCCUUACUAACUGCUGUGGAUUCUACAACAAUACCGUCUGUGCCUAAGGCUGCUUGAUCUAUUUCCAUAACAGUUUUGAUCUUAACAGCUUUGUGAUUGCAAAGGUGUUUAUGUACUCAGGGUGCCCACAACUCACUCACCAAGAUGUUUAACAGUAAGUAACAGUAAAUGUAAAAGAUUCAUUUUGGGCCGGGCUCAGUGGCUCACGCCUGUAAUCCCAGCACUUUGGGAGGCCGAGGCGGGUGGACCACAAGGUCAGGAGAUCGAGACCAUCCUGGCUAACAUGGUGAAACCCCGUCUCUACUCAAAAUACAAAAAAUUAGCCGGGAGUGGUGUCGGGCGACUGUAGUCCCAGCUACUCGCGAGGCUGAGGCAGGAGAAUGGCGUGAAUCCGGGAGGCGGAGCUUGCAGCGAGCCAAGAUCGCGCCACUGCACUCCAGCCUGGGUGACAGAGCGAGACUCUGCCUCAAAAAAAA
rnacentral:sRNA from 1 species